GACGAACGCUGGCGGCGUGCUUAACACAUGCAAGUCGAACGGAAAGGCCCUGCUUUUGUGGGGUGCUCGAGUGGCGAACGGGUGAGUAACACGUGAGUAACCUGCCCUUGACUUUGGGAUAACUUCAGGAAACUGGGGCUAAUACCGGAUAGGAGCUCCUGCUGCAUGGUGGGGGUUGGAAAGUUUCGGCGGUUGGGGAUGGACUCGCGGCUUAUCAGCUUGUUGGUGGGGUAGUGGCUUACCAAGGCUUGGACGGGUAGCCGGCCUGAGAGGGUGACCGGCCACAUUGGGACUGAGAUACGGCCCAGACUCCUACGGGAGGCAGCAGUGGGGAAUAUUGCACAAUGGGCGGAAGCCUGAUGCAGCAACGCCGCGUGCGGGAUGACGGCCUUCGGGUUGUAAACCGCUUUCGCCUGUGACGAAGCGUGAGUGAUGGUAAUGGGUAAAGAAGCACCGGCUAACUACGUG
rnacentral:rRNA from 1 species